ACUCAAAGGAAUUGACGGGGGAGCGCACAACCGGUGGAGCAUGUGGUUUAAUUCGAUACGAAGCGAAAGACCUCACCCAGGCUUGACAUAUAUCUGCAAAUCCCGUGAAAGCGGGACUUCUUCGAGAGUGAUAUACAGCUGUUGCAUGGCUGUCGUAAGUUCGUGUCGUGAGGCGUCCAUUUAAGUAUGGUAACGAACGAAACCCCUAUCGUGUGUUGAAUAUUCACGCGAGACUGCUCUUGAUAGUAUCAAGGGAGGAAGGAGGGGAUGACGUCAAGUCAGCAUGACGCUUACGCCUGGGGCCACACACAUCCUACAAUGGAAAGUAACAAAGGGUAGCCAACCCGCGAGGGGGAGCCAAUCCCAUCAAACCUUUCCUCAGUUCAGAUUGGAGGCUGCAACUCGCCUCCAUGAAGUUGGAAUCGGUAGUAAUCGCAGGUCAGCAGACUGCGGUGAAUACGUUCUCGCUCCUUGUACACACCGCCCGU
rnacentral:rRNA from 1 species